ensembl:lncRNA
GUGUGUGUGUGUGUGUGUGUGUGUGUGUGUGUGUGUGUGUGUGUGUGUGUGGAUGGGUUGUAGGGUGUGUGUGUGUGUGUGUGUGUGUGUGUAUAUGGAUGGGUUGUAGGGUGUGUGUGUGUGUGUGUGUGGGUUGUAGGGUGUCUGUUUGUGUGUGGAUGGGUUGUAGGGCGUCCGUGUGUAUGGAUGGGUUGUAGGGUGUCUGUGUGUAUGGAUGAAUUGUAGGGUGUUUGUGUGUAUGGGUGGGUUGUAGGGUGUCUGUGUGUAUGGGUGGAUUGUAGGGUGUCUGUGUGUAUGGAUGGGUUAUAGGGCGUCUGUGUGUAUGAAUGGAUUGAAGGGCGUCUGUGUGUAUGGAUGGAUUGUAGGGCGUCUGUGUGUAUGAAUGGGUUGUAGGGCGUCUGUGUAUGGAUGGAUUGUAGGGCGUCUGUGUAUGAAUGGGUUGUAGGGCGUCUGUGUGUGUGGAUGGAUUGUAGGGCGUCUGUGUGUAUGGAUGGGUUGUAGGGCAUCUGUGUAUGGAUGGAUUGUAGGGCGUCUGUGUGUAUGAAUGGGUUGUAGGGCGUCUGUGUAUGGAUGGAUUGUAGGGCGUCUGUGUAUGG